rnacentral:tRNA from 1 species
ACCUGGGUGACGGAAUUGGUAGACGUGCACGCUUGAGGGGCGUGUGUCUUAGGACGUGUGGGUUCGACUCCCAUCCCAGGUACUA